UACGUAGGGUCCGAGCGUUGUCCGGAAUUAUUGGGCGUAAAGAGCUCGUAGGCGGUUUGUCGCGUCUGCUGUGAAAUCCCGAGGCUCAACCUCGGGUCUGCAGUGGGUACGGGCAGACUGGAGUGCGGUAGGGGAGAAUGGAAUUCCUGGUGUAGCGGUGGAAUGCGCAGAUAUCAGGAGGAACACCGAUGGCGAAGGCAGUUCUCUGGGCCGUAACUGACGCUGAGGAGCGGAAGCGUGGGGAGCGAACAGG
rnacentral:rRNA from 1 species